rnacentral:rRNA from 1 species
AUGAACGCUGUCUACAGGCUUAACACAUGCCAGUCGAGGGGAAACGACGGGGAAGCUUGCUUCCCCGGGCGUCGACCGGCGCACGGGUGAGUAACGCGUAUCCAACCUGCCUCUGACUGAGGGAUAACCCGUCGAAAGUCGGCCUAAUACCUCAUGGCAUCGUCUGCGGGCAUCCAACGACGAUUAAAGAUUUCAUCGGUCAGGGAUGGGGAUGCGUCUGAUUAGCUUGUUGGCGGGGUAACGGCCCACCAAGGCUACGAUCAGUAGGGGUUCUGAGAGGAAGGUCCCCCACAUUGGAACUGAGACACGGUCCAAACUCCUACGGGAGGCAGCAGUGAGGAAUAUUGGUCAAUGGGCGGGAGCCUGAACCAGCCAAGUAGCGUGCAGGAUGACGGCCCUAUGGGUUGUAAACUGCUUUUAUGCGGGGAUAAAGUGAGGGACGUGUCCUUCAUUGCAGGUACCGCAUGAAUAAGGACCGGCUAAUUCCGUG